UUUUUUUUUUUUUUAAUUGUCUUUUGAAUUGGCUACUUCUGAGAGAGAAAGCCACCCACCCCCUCCCUCCACCAGCACAACCAGGUUCCAAGAUAUUAAGGCGUCAGAAUGCAGAAAAGAAAGACACGAUUAGUACGCAGAGACGCAACAUGACACUCAGGCACGUGAAUAGCUGAGUUAAAGAUGCCUUUCCUUCUUGUAAGUAGUAGUUACAUUGUUUUCCCCAAAGUGUGUCUCAUUACACAAUGAUGCUCUUUAAUUGCAAGAACACUUGAGAAAUUGCAGGGAUAAAGUUAAACAAAUCCACAUGUUAUAAUUAUGCAUAUGUAUAUGUUCUGCCUUUGUGUCUUGUUUAAAGUAUAAAAGCCAAACAGGACAGGAGUCUCCUACAGCCUCGUUUUGCAAGGGCCGAACCUAGAGGGGACUGAAGGGGAGGGAUCCCCUCGUCAAUGUUGCUGCCUUGGCCCAGGGAAGCCCGUCACAGGUUGAGUGACACCUGGGUCAGCUGUUUGAAGUGACAGUCACACUUCCGGCUCUGCAUUCUGAGAUGCCCCAACCAGACAGCAGAGGCCUGGUGAGGAAAACCAGCCUGGGCUGAGGCAGGCGGCUUAGGCAGCCCUGGGCUUCCCCCAGGUUCAUCAGAGAUGCAUUGUCCGCAUCAUUCCUCACUCUCUCCCCGUCACACAGUGAGCCCUUCCUGCCCCACUUGGGAGGGCUCCCUGCCCUGAAAAGAUGCUUGGAGACACAGAGAUGCUUCCCGAAAUGCAGGCCCUGGGGUCGAGUAGGGGCCUGUCCACCCGUCCUCCUGGACUCACUGACCUUCCCUCAGUGGCACGCACACACCAGGGCUCUGGGUGGAGCAGACUGCACCUCCGUGCAAACCAGGUGGAGGAACACACUUCACCCUCGUGUUCAUCCACAGAUGCUCCGUGUCUCUGGCCUGCCAUAAAAUCUGUGAAAGUCGUCCUUGUAAAACCACGUCAUUGCUCCGGGGGGAAAUCCUUUGACUUUGCAGUGAAUAAUGGUAUGAUGGAGAAAGAUGUCACUGCCUAUGAAACGGGACACUUGGAGUGUUCCAGAAUGAUGUUCUACAUGGGAGGGGAGCCCAGCUGAACUCCACUGGGAAAGGCUAACCCCUCCGCAGGGUGACAUUUACUUCAUUUUCCCCUCAUGCGGGCAAGGCCAGGCUUCCUGUAGCUCAACCCGUCAGAAGCUUCUGUUCCAAAGACUGCUGGCUGUUCCCCAAUAUCUAUUUCCCCUUCUUUAAGAGGAACAGAAUCUGGCUUUGGGGACUGGGGACAGAGUCGUUCAGAAUCAAGCCUACAUUUCCCAGGCUCCCUUGCAGCUGGCUGUGGUCAUGUGACUAAGUCCUUCCCAGGGGGAUGGGAUGGUGAACAGCCAGGACCUCCACACUGCAGAACUGCCAUGCCAGUCCUGAGCUGCUUACUCUCAGAAGAUUCCGUGAGAGAGAAGGAAGCUGCAGCUGGAACAAUAUUCUAAUUCAAGGAGAUGGAUUCCUCACCAUAGAUGCUCGCAUCCCAGACUCCAAGGGAGGGGUCACCCAGGCCUGUGUCCUUGUUAGGGUGCCCCCCUUCCCACAAUUGGACUCUAGUGUAAAAUCAUGUUUUGAGCUUUGUUCAUGAUGCCCACCGCUAGUGGCCUUUGUUCUUUGGGGUCCAGCAGAGAAUUUAGGCACUGGAAGAUGCAAACAGACUCUCUCUACAUUUUAUUUCUAAGCCACAAAUGAAAUCUCCAUGCAUGACCACAUUGUAAUUGCUGACGACAUUUCUGUUAUCGUCUCACACAAGAUAAGAAAAAAAUAUUACAGCACAUUGACUGAGACCAGACUCCUCCCUUUCCAUGUGUGGGUGCACACACACGCGUGUACAGAAACACACACACACAACCAGUCUUAUGCUCCCCACCCUGAUUCCUUCACCCCCAUAUUACAGUUGUUCUAAAUUAAUAUUAUUUCUCAAGUCCCACCCAACUCAUUUCAGGGAGGAAGAAGAGAGAACCAAAG
ensembl:lncRNA